AACGAACGCUGGCGGCAUGCCUAACACAUGCAAGUCGAACGAGACCCUCGGGACUAGGUGUGCCCGGGGGCGUAAGGCGGGGGAACCUGCCCUUACGUUCGGUAUAACUCCCCGAAAGGGGUGCUAAUACCGGAUAAUAUCUCCGAACCAAAGAUUCAUCGCGAUGGGAUGGGCCCGCGUGGGAUUAGCUAGUUGGUAGGGUAAAAGCCUACCAAGGCGACGCUACAUAGCUGGUCUGAGGAGAUGCUCAGCCACACUGGGACUGAGACACGACUGAGACUCCUACGGGAGGCAGCAGUGGAGAAUAUUGGAAAAUGGGCGAAAGCCUGGUCGAGCUGUGCCGCGUGAGUAAAGAAGGCCUUAGGGUUGUAAAGCUCUUUUACCCGAGAUGAUAAUGACAGUACCGGGAGAAUAAGCUCCGGCUAACUCCGUG
rnacentral:rRNA from 1 species